CUGUCUCCAUCAUAAUUUUCAAAGGGAAGAAACCUGCAUGGACCGCCAACUACUAUAAAGAGACAAGUGUAUAGCGGCCCGGAAAGCGAAUACGAUGAGGAGAAGAACGAUGAUCAAUCUCCGCAAGAGCAUAGCUUUAUUUGCUGUGUUUCUGUUUCUGACAUUUAUUCUGCUCUCGGCGUGUCAAGCAAAGAUCUUAGACUACUCAUCACUAGCAGCUCAGGGAAGCUUAAUUCACCGACGGAGUGACAGGGAAGCUCCUGGACCUCCUGGACCAGCUGCUAAUGUCCAUGAUCAUAAUCACCAUUAAGGAGGUGGCAGAAGUAUUGUGCCUUUAGAUUAACUGAACUUGUUGUGUAUGUUUGUAACUAGUUCCAAAAUUUGCCAAUUGGAGACUAGUGAUCAAGUAGAAAGCAUCACGUAUACACUUGUAUAAUCAUCAUUUAUUGGUAACUAAGAUGGUAUUUAAACUUUA